GAUUAUGGCUCAGGAUGAACGCUAGCUACAGGCUUAACACAUGCAAGUCGAGGGGCAGCAUGUUGGUUGCUUGCAACCAAUGAUGGCGACCGGCGCACGGGUGAGUAACGCGUAUCCAACCUUCCCUAUAGUAGAGGAUAGCCCGGCGAAAGUCGGAUUAAUACUCUAUGUUUUCCAAUGCAGACAUCUAAGUUGGAACAAAGGUUCACCGCUAUAGGAUGGGGGAUGCGUCUGAUUAGAUAGUCGGCGGGGUAACGGCCCACCGAGUCGACGAUCAGUAGGGUUCUGAGAGGAAGGUCCCCCACAUUGGAACUGAGACACGGUCCAAACUCCUACGGGAGGCAGCAGUGAGGAAUAUUGGUCAAUGGGCGAGAGCCUGAACCAGCCAAGUAGCCGUGCAGGAUGACGGCCCUAUGGGUUGUAAACUGCUUUUAUACAGGGAUAAAGUGACGUACGUGUACGUUAUUGUAGGUACUGUAUGAAUAAGGACCGGCUAAUUCCGUGCCAGCCGCGGC
rnacentral:rRNA from 1 species